UAAAAACAUCGAUACCAUACGCCAAUCGAAAAGGAAAAAUCCCUCGUAGUGGUCUGAGGAGUAGUUGGACAAGACCAUAAGACACUAAGCUACUCCUUCGACCAUCUACCAUAGGCCUAAUCUAAUUUCCUCUUAAUUUCAUUCAAUAAAGUCCAGUUCGUGACUUCCAUUUGACCGUUAUACCGAGGUCGGGCCACUGAAACCAUACGGUGCUGGAUGUUC
rnacentral:lncRNA from 1 species